rnacentral:lncRNA from 1 species
AUGGUCGAUACAGCAUCUCCCUGUGAGUGGAAAAGCAUCAAGAGAAAUCCUUCUUAUUUGCAAAGAAAAGCAGUUGUUUUAGAAAUAAAAUAUGUGCAAUAUCCCAGAAACACCUUUCAAAUUUAUUAUUUUCUUUUUAAAACAAUAUUGGCUUUAAAGGGGUUCACUCUUUAAAAAUGUGCAAUUCAGCAAUUUUUAGUAUAUUCACAAAGAAUAUUAAUUACUACUAUCUAAUUCCAGAAUAUUUUCAUUAUCCCUCCCCCCAAAUUCCCAUGGAUAUUAAGCCGUCACAUCUUAUUCUCCCCUUUUCCUAGUCCCUGAAAACCACAAAUUUAAUUUUUGUCUCUAGAGAUUUACCUAUUUUGGGUAUUUCUUAUGAAUGGAAUCAGACAAUACAUGGCAUUUUGUGUCUGGCUUUGUCCAGUCUCCAUGAUGUUUUCAGUGUUCACCUAUUUCGUAUCAUGUACCAAUACUUGAUUCCUUUCUAUGGCCAAAUAACACACCAUUGUGUGGAUGCAGCACAUUUUGUGCAUCCGUCCAUCAGUUGAUAGACAUCUGGGUUGUCUCUACUUUCGGCUUUUAUGAAUCAUGCUGCAAUCCACAUCCAUGUUCAAGUAUUUGUAAGAGUCCCUGUUUUCAGAUCUUUGGGGUAAUAUAUCUAGCAGUGGGAUUGCUAGUCUUAUGAGAAUUCUAUGUUUAACCUUUGAGGAAUCACCCAACUGCUUUUCACAGUGAGUGUACCAUUUUACGUACCUAUUAGCAGUAUUUGAGAGUUCCAAUUUCUCCAUAUCCUCAAUGACACUUAUUUUCCAUUUUUUAAAAAAAAAUUAUAGCCACACUAGUAAGUAUAAAGUGGCAGAUGCAUUUAUCUUCAAAUAUAUUUGAAAAUAUAACCAUCCUAUCAGACUCAUGGUAUUGUUGGUUUUCCAAUCAGGGCACUGGUAAGAUUUCCUAAAUAUACUUUCGUUUAAGUAGAAAAAAGUGAAUAGUUUAAUGACAAUAAGUAGAUAAAUAAUGUAUGGAUGAGAUGGGGAUAUGGCAAAAUCUGUGGAGAUGUGAGCCAGGGGAAAGUUACUAAAUUUCUUUGAGCCUCAGUUUCAUUAUCUGUAAUAAAAGAGGGCCCUGGACUGCUAAGUGGAUCA